AAGCCGAUGAGGAUGAACUUACAUUUGGAAUUACCGUCUGAACAAAUCACCUUGAUGUGAAUUUUCUGGCUGACUGAGGCUUCAC